rnacentral:lncRNA from 1 species
UGAGAAACAGAGGAAGUGUUUUUCCUCUCGGGCGUGAGCUGUGGGUUCUAAGGUUUCAACUCUAGAUUUUAUGAAAAGAAAAUAUAAGAGUGAGUCUUAUCCAAUCUUUCACACUACCACCUCCUCGUAAAGCUUCAUCUUCUAAUCUGGAGGAGUCCAGGAGAUCCAAAGAAAGGAGCUUGGAUCAGCCAUCCAGAGCCUUCGAUGUG